rnacentral:rRNA from 1 species
ACAGUGGGGAAUUUUCCGCAAUGGGCGCAAGCCUGACGGAGCAACGCCGCGUGGGUGACGAAGGAUUUCGGUCUGUAAAGCCCUUUCAGUCGGGACGAGUCGCAGACGGUACCGACAGAAGAAGCAUCGGCUAACUACGUGCCAGCAGCCGCGGUAAGACGUAGGAUGCGAGCGUUGUCCGGAAUUAUUGGGCGUAAAGCGUACGUAGGCGGUCAUCUAAGUCUGGGGUUAAAGACCAAGGCUCAACCUUGGGAGUGCCCUGGAUACUGGGUGACUGGAGGACGGCAGAGGAAAGUGGAAUUCCCAGUGUAGCGGUGAAAUGCGUAGAUAUUGGGAGGAACACCAGUGGCGAAAGCGACUUUCUGGGCCGUUCCUGACGCUGAGGUACGAAAGCCAGGGGAGCAAACGGGAUUAGAUACCCCGGUAGUCCUGGCCGUAAACGAUGGAUACUAGGUGUCAUCGGUAUCAACCCCGGUGGUGCCGUAGCUAACGCGUUAAGUAUCCCGCCUGGGGAGUACGGUCGCAAGGCUGAAACUCAAU